UACUAAGAUAGAGGCGCGGCAUUUAAGAGUACUGUCAUGGAGUUAAGCAGCGUUGAAGUGACAGGAAAGGAAAUGCUGCCGAAGCGUAUUGCGUCUGCUUGCCGCAAUACAGCUGGGGUUGCACAGAACAUGUGCAGCACUGCCACAAGUGUGGAGCGCUAUCAUUCGC
rnacentral:ncRNA from 2 species